rnacentral:rRNA from 1 species
ACAGUACAACUCUGAGCGGUGGAUCACUCGGCUCGUGUGUCGAUGAAGAGUGCAGCCAACUGUGUGAAUUAAUGUGAACUGCGUACUGCUUUGAACAUCGACAUCUUGAACGCAUAUUGCG